UCACAGACUGCAUCAAAGGGUGAGCUGCCAACCCCUAUUUAGCAACCUGCAUGAAGCAACAGUUUUGUUCCAGCCUGACAGAAACUUUGUGUUGCAGAAGAUAGUACAGGAGGGAGCCUCAGAACAACUGGCACUUUCACAGAAGGCUCGGUUGUGCGCGGCUCCAUGACAUCCAUUUCAGCUUCUGGAAGUCACUGGCCAAAUGCCGAGUUCUAUUAUGGAAUGUAAAGGAUACAGAUUGACAGCACCUGAGAACUUGGGACUCCAGACACCAGGAGAAGCACAGCACAGAUGAGAACUGCGACAGCCCGAUCAUGCCUGCCAAAGCACCAGCACAGCUCCUUUCUUGAUACCAUCUACACGGUGGGGGCCAUCUGUUCUACAGUGCUGCCACUCUUCCCUUUGUGAGCUAGUGAGCAGAAGGGGGAGAUGGCCCCAUCCCCCAUCAACCAUUUCCCCAAAUGCAGUUAAGCUGCGGUCUGGAAUUCGCAUCUGACCAGGAGCCAGUCAGCAUCACCUGAUGGUUUUAAAAAGCCAGAGAAGGUAGACAGAUGUUGAUACAAUGUUCUAGCAGCUUCCUCUGCCUGGAUCAUGGGCCAAAUAUGCUGAUAAAGAAUGUGCCUAGCUCUCCUAAGACCUGCACUUGUAUGGGAAGGAGGAAAAAGCAAAGCCAGAAUUGCCUGCUUGGAUAGAGGCGUUUGCAGUGCCAAAGUGCUGGGAGAUCAGAAGACAGAAGAAAACUCUGCCGUCUGACAGAUGUGCCCUAACGGAGAAAAAUAAAGGUGAAACAUGAGCAUGAAGAACACGGCACAGCACAUCCUUCCAUCAGUCAGCCCUGUUGACUGCUGGCGCCUGUGGUGCAGUCUUUGUGAGUGGAUCAAAGGCCAGUGCGCCAAGAAACGUGGAAGGCAAGUUGCAGGUCUCCCU